rnacentral:tRNA from 1 species
GCCUGGGUGGCUCAGUCAGUUGAGCAUCAGGUCAUGAUCUCAUGGUAUGUGGGUUCAAGCCCCGUCUUGGGCU